UACGUAGGGGGCGAGCGUUGUCCGGAAUUAUUGGGCGUAAAGAGCGUGUAGGCGGUUCGGUAAGUCUGGCGUGAAAUUUUUCGGCUUAACCGGGAAAGGUCGUCGGAUACUGCGAGGCUAGAGGACGGUAGAGGCGUGUGGAAUUCCGGGUGUAGUGGUGAAAUGCGUAGAGAUCCGGAGGAACACCAGUGGCGAAGGCGACACGCUGGGCCGUACCUGACACUGAUGCGCGACAGCAUGGGGAGCAAACAGG
rnacentral:rRNA from 1 species